UAAACACCGACGCACGAGGCCGCGUCCCGCGUGACACUUCUUAUUAUUAUCGUUAUUAUUUUUGGUGACAAAUCGCCAAAGCUACAAAUCUUCAGCCGCGGCCCAUUAGUAAUGCAGGCGCCUCGUCAGCCGCGUGUUUAUUAUUUCCCAGCAGCAAGACGGGUCGUUUAUCGGGGGGAGACCACCAGACUGACUGGGGCGGAGGAAAGGAUGGGAGAAUGAGGAAAAGGGGCCAAAGACGUAAGGAAAGUAGCGCCGGCUGCGGUUUGAUCGUAUCACACCGGAGGCCUGCGUGUUAAACUGCACCACCUCCAUGCGCUGCUUUGACAAGAUCUUCAGGCUGGAGGGCGGCUUGGCUUUAGCUCCAACACUUCAGCCUGAAACGCACAAAGAAGAAUGGACACUUCAUUUAAUGGCGAUGUGUCUCCAGCCGUCCCCCUCCUCUGCUCGUCUGAAUGAAGACUUCCUCCAACACGCCGACCGUCGCUCUGCUAUUCUUAUCUCGCCGAGUGACAACAGAAGAAACUUUAAAUUGGGCCUCAAAGAAGCGACUGCCGAGGAGAGAAACGUCCGGAAGCUGAUUCCAGCUCACGGAACAGAAGCGUCGCGUGCAAAGGAUUGUGGGUAUUUUUGGAGGAUUAACGCGUCCUUUAAUAUCUUCCAAUUGAAGGAUUCAGCUCUCAGAAUAAUUCUGAGGAUCCUUUUUUAUAUUUCUGAGAGGACAGAUUUAGUACAUACUUAUUAUUAUAAGUAUUAGUAUUAUUUUACACAAAGAAAGUAUAACUACUAUCAUUAUUUUGGUGGAUUGAACUGGUCUGACGGGCUUUGAUUCACGUCCCGUUCACGUCUGAGAAAGACUAACAAAUAAAAAACAAAUUUCCGAAUCCAA
ensembl:lncRNA